CGGCGAAAGGGUGCGUAACACGUGGGCAAUUUGCCAUAAAGUUGGGGAUAACUCGCUGAAAGGCGAGCUAAUACCGGAUGUGGUUGUUUGAAGGCAUCUUUGGACAACUAAAGCUGGGGAUCGUAAGACCUGGCGCUUUAUGAUGAGCCCGCGGCCUAUCAGCUAGUUGGUGAGGUAACGGCUUACCAAGGCUAAGACGGGUAGCUGGUCUGAGAGGACGACCAGCCACACUGGAACUGAGACACGGUUCAGACACCUACGGGUGGCAGCAGUCGAGAAUUUUUCUCAAUGGGCGAAAGCCUGAAGGAGCGACGCCGCGUGGGGGAUGAAUGGCUUCGGCCCGUAAACCCCUGUCAUUUGCGAACAAACCUUACGUUUUAAUAGAACGUGAGCUGAUUGUAGCGAAAGAGGAAGGGACGGCUAACUCUGUGCCAGCAGCCGCGGUAAUACAGAGGUCCCAAGCGUUGUUCGGAUUCACUGGGCGUAAAGGGUGCGUAGGUGGUCAGGUAAGUCUGAUGUGAAAUCUCUGAGCUUAACUCAGAAACUGCAUUGGAUACUAUCUGGCUAGAGAGUCGGAGGGGGGACUGGAAUACUUGGUGUAGCAGUGAAAUGCGUAGAUAUCAAGUGGAACACCAGUGGCGAAGGCGAGUCCCUGGACGACUUCUGACACUGAGGCACGAAAGCUAGGGGAGCAAACAGGAUUAGAUACCCUGGUAGUCCUAGCUGUAAACGGUGCACAUUUGCUGUAAAAGGAAUCGACCCCUUUUGUGGCGAAGCUAACGCGUUAAAUGUGCCGCCUGGGAAGUACGGUCGCAAGAUUAAAACUCAAAGAAAUUGACGGGGGCCUGCACAAGCGGUGGAGUAUGUGGCUUAAUUCGAUGCAACGCGAAGAACCUUACCUGGCCUUGAC
rnacentral:rRNA from 1 species